UACGGGGGGGGCAAGCGUUGUCCGGAAUCAUUGGGCGUAAAGAGCGCGCAGGCGGCUUGGCAAGUCGGGUGUGAAAUCCCGGGGCUCAACCCCGGGACUGCAUUCGAUACUGUCAGGCUAGAGGUAGGUAGGGGAGAUCGGAAUUCCUGGUGUAGCGGUGAAAUGCGCAGAUAUCAGGAGGAACACCUGCGGUGUAGACGGCUUACUGGACCAUAACUGACGCUGAGGCACGAAAGCGUGGGUAGCAAACAGG
rnacentral:rRNA from 1 species